CUGGCUUUUGCUCUCAUAGGGCUGUGAGCAGGCUUGGAGCAAGCUGGUGAAGCUGGAGCGUUCAGGUUGCUCUUCUAAACACAGGUACAACUGAUGGCAGUGUGAGAGAGAGUGCUUCCAGAGGUGCAGCACAAGUCCUUGAAGACUCGGAGCAGGGAGAACUGCACAAUGUGCUGCUGCGUGGGGCCCUUUGUAUGUAGAUCCUCUUAUUUGCUAAUGGGAUUUAGAUUCAGACUUCCAUCUCGCCAACCUGAACACUUGCCUGAAGGUAAAUCAGUUCCGAGAAGUCCUUUCUCAAGUCUCCAGGGAGAGACAGCAAGGAGAGAAGUCAAAUUGAAGAUUAUUUUAAGGCACAUUGUUUCUCGGCAUGAAGCACAGCACUGUGAAGCUCGGAAGGCUGAACAUUAACAUUCCCAUCCUGUUACAUAAGUGCUAAAUAAAGAAUAUAAUCGAGACUUUACAGGAAAAUGGUUCAGAUAACCAGUUGGUUGGAGCUCUGCAGACCCCUGGCCUUCCACAUGCAGCCUUAUGUGCACCUGAUCCAUGCUGGGAAGUUGGAUCUGGUCCCCGAAAGCAGGACCAGAUGCCCUCACCUAUGGGUGAUGUCUAAGUCUGUUAACAUAUGGUGCUACCAUCUUGAGGUUGGGCUGGGAGGAUGGCUGAGCAUUAGUAUGGCUGCUGUUUUAGCAACUCUCCCAGCACUGUACAGAGCGGUGCUGAGGUCACCAGGCUUCCAACUGCUUUCUAUGCUUGUUGGUACUAUCACAAAGAGCAGCACUGCACUUGUGCUGGGGGUCCCGUCUGUGCAAUGGGCACAUUUUGUGACUUAACUGAAGGGUGUGAC